UAGGGAAUCUUCCGCAAUGGACGCAAGUCUGACGGAGCAACGCCGCGUGAGUGAAGAAGGAUUUCGGUUCGUAAAACUCUGUUGUUAGAGAAGAACAGCGCAUAGCGUAACUGUUAUGCGUGUGACGGUAUCUAACCAGAAAGCCACGGCUAACUACGUGCCAGCAGCCGCGGUAAUACGUAGGUGGUAAGCGAUGUCCGGAUUUAUUGGGCGUAAAGCGAGCGCAGGCGGUCAAUUAAGUCUGAUGUGAAAGCCCCCGGCUCCAGCGGGGAGGGUCAUUGGAAACUGGUUGACUUGAGUGCAGAAGAGGAGAGUGGAAUUCCAUGUGUAGCGGUGAAAUGCGUAGAUAUCUGUAGGAACACCAGUGGCGAAGGCGACUCUCUGGUCUGUAACUGACGCUGAGGCUCGAAAGCGUGGGUAGCAAACAGG
rnacentral:rRNA from 1 species